rnacentral:rRNA from 1 species
UACGUAGGGUGCGAGCGUUAAUCGGAAUUACUGGGCGUAAAGCGUGCGUAGACGGUUGCGUAAGUCAGAUGUGAAAGCCCCGGGCUCAACCUGGGAAUUGCAUUUGAGACUGCGUAGCUAGGGUGCGGAAGAGGGAAGCGGAAUUUCCGGUGUAGCGGUGAAAUGCGUAGAUAUCGGAAGGAACACCAGUGGCGAAGGCGGGUCUCUGGGCCGAUACUGACGCUGAGGAGCGAAAGCGUGGGGAGUGAACAGG